GCGGGUUUAGCUCAGUUGGGAGAGCGUCAGACUGAAGUCCACUUCAUUCCUAAAUCUGAAGGUCAUGUGUUCGAUCCACAUAAACCGCA
rnacentral:tRNA from 1 species